UACGUAGGGUGCAAGCGUUGUCCGGAAUUAUUGGGCGUAAAGAGCUCGUAGGCGGUCUGUUACGUCGGCUGUGAAAACCCGCGGCUCAACUGUGGGCUUGCAGUCGAUACGGGCAGGCUGGAGUUCGGUAGGGGAGACUGGAAUUCCUGGUGUAGCGGUGAAAUGCGCAGAUAUCAGGAGGAACACCGGUGGCGAAGGCGGGUCUCUGGGCCGAUACUGACGCUGAGGAGCGAAAGCGUGGGGAGCGAACGGG
rnacentral:rRNA from 1 species